UACGUAGGGGGCUAGCGUUGUCCGGAUUUAUUGGGCGUAAAGAGCGUGUAGGCGGCCAUACAGGUCAGCUGUGAAAACUCGAAGCUCAACCUCGAGACGUCGGUUGAAACCGUAUGGCUAGAGUCCGGAAGAGGAGAGUGGAAUUCCCGGUGUAGCGGUGAAAUGCGCAGAUAUCGGGAAGAACACCUAUGGCGAAGGCAGCUCUCUGGGACGGUACUGACGCUGAGACGCGAAAGCGUGGGGAGCGAACAGG
rnacentral:rRNA from 1 species